GAUGAAGAACGCAGUGAAAUGCGAUAAGUAGUGUGAAUUGCAGAAUUCAGUGAAUCAUCGAAUCUUUGAACGCACAUUGCGCCCCUCGGUAUUCCGUGGGGCAUGCCUGUUCGAGCGUCAUUUACCCCUCAAGCACUGCUUGGUGUUGGGCGUCUGUCCCGCUUCGCGCGCGGACUCGCCCCAAAGGUAUUGGCAGUGGUCGUGCCAGCUUCUCGCGCAGCACAUUGCGCUUCUCGAGGCGGUCGAUCGGCGUCCACGAAGCUCACCUCCACCGUUUGACCUCGGAUCAGGUAGGGAUACCCGCUGAACUUAAGCAUAUCAAUAAGCGGAGA
rnacentral:misc_RNA from 1 species